rnacentral:rRNA from 1 species
AUGGAGUUCGCGGCCGGAUCCCGCGCCGCCGUGCACGCCCGGGCCUGCCGCCGCCGGGAACGGGUUCCUGAGCGCCGGAUCUGCUGGAUCCCGGCCUCCCUCGCUCCCUCCAGUCGCUUCUCCAUCGACCCCGUCGCCGGAGUCGUCACCGUCCUCGCCGUGGCCUCGCCGUGUCCUCCUGUGCAGGGAGGAGGACGAGCGCCAGCCUCCUCCCGUGCCUGGGCCGCAUCUCGCGAAGGCCCAGCCGCAUCGCGCCCAGCUUUGCAGCCGCGCAGGCCCAGCUCCGCCUCGCCCCUUCGUUGA